GGUAGCAGACCAACAGGGAUUGCCCUAGUAACGGCGAGUGAAGCGGCAACAGCUCAAAUUUGAAAUCUGGCCUUCGGGUCCGAAUUGUAAUUUGUAGAGGAUGCUUUUGGUGCGGUGCCUUCCGAGUUCCCUGGAACGGGACGCCUUAGAGGGUGAGAGCCCCGUACGGUUGGACGCCUAGCCUCUGUAAAGCUCCUUCGACGAGUCGAGUAGUUUGGGAAUGCUGCUCAAAAUGGGAGGUAAAUUUCUUCUAAAGCUAAAUACCGGCCAGAGACCGAUAGCGCACAAGUAGAGUGAUCGAAAGAUGAAAAGCACUUUGAAAAGAGGGUUAAAUAGCACGUGAAAUUGUUGAAAGGGAAGCGUUUAUGACCAGUCUUAUUCCUGGCGGAUCAUCUAGUGUUCUCACUGGUGCACUUCGCCUGGUAUAGGCCAGCAUCGGUUUCCGUAGGGGGAUAAAAGCUUCGGGAAUGUAUCUCCUCCGGGAGUGUUAUAGCCCGUUGUAUAAUACCCUUAUGGGGACCGAGGUUCGCGCUCUGCAAGGAUGCUGGCAUAAUGGUCAUCAACGACCCGUCUUGAAACACGGACCAAGGAGUCGAACAUUUGUGCGAGUGUUUGGGUGUUAAACCCUCACGCGUAAUGAAAGUGAACGGAGGUGAGAGCCUUAGGGUGCAUCAUCGACCGAUCCUGAAGUUUUCGGAUGGAUUUGAGUAAGAGCAUAACUGUUCGGACCCGAAAGAUGGUGAACUAUGCGUGGAUAGGGUGAAGCCAGAGGAAACUCUGGUGGAGGCUCGCAGCGGUUCUGACGUGCAAAUCGAUCGUCAAAUCUGCGCAUGGGGGCGAAAGACUAAUCGAACCUCUAGUAGU
rnacentral:rRNA from 1 species